UCCAAGUUCACACCCCCUCCUGAGACAGCCUGUAGCGGUUGGUCAGUGUGGGAGGACAGAGGUCUGAUUCUCUUGCCGCUGCGGGGAAAAUUCUGAAGGGUCACAAGAGCUCCAGAGUUCCUGUGUCCAAUUCUGUGGCCUUCUCGCUCUCACAGGUGGUACUGAUACCAACACAAGCUUCAUAAGCCUUUACUCAGAUUUCUUUAAAAAACAAAACAAAACAAAACAACAUUUUAUUUAUUGUUUUUAAGUAAUCUCUACACCCAGCAUGGGGCUGGAACUCACAACCCUGAGAUGGAGAGUCCCACCCUCCACCGACUGAGCCAGCCAGUGGCACCCUUUACUCAGAUUUCGGUCUCAAAGUGUGUUUGCCCGGAAACUCAACCUGCCAAGAGUCGGUGCCAAGACUACCAAGGAGAGCUGAAUCUAAACUGUGAUUUUGUUUUAUUUUUUAUAUUUUACUGAUAGAUUGGUGUGGUUGACAUCUUUAUUGCUUUGGAGGUGGGGGCAGGUGCUCAGGAGCUCUUGGUGGGGGCGGCUCCCUCUUCACCGGCACAGGCUUCUGGCAGCCAUGUGCACAUCUGGGCAGUACUUGCUCUUGCGGGUCGUGUGCCUGGUGCUACUGAGGGUGGCCCGGGCAUUCUUGUUGACAGCAGUCCUCACGCAGGAGGUCGCGGGGUUUCACUGGCCGGAUCUCUGCUUCCUGACCACCGCUGCACCAUGCCUUUGCCGCAGGCCCCCGGCGCC